rnacentral:rRNA from 1 species
UACAGAGGUCUCAAGCGUUGUUCGGAUUCAUUGGGCGUAAAGGGUGCGUAGGCGGCGCGGUAAGUCGGGUGUGAAAUCUCGGAGCUUAACUCCGAAACUGCAUUCGAUACUGCCGUGCUUGAGGACUGGAGAGGAGACUGGAAUUUACGGUGUAGCGGUGAAAUGCGUAGAUAUCAAGAGGAACACCAGUGGCGAAGGCGAGUCCCUGGACAACUUCUGACGCUGAGGCACGAAAGCUAGGGGAGCAAACAGG